CUAGGGAAGAAGGAGGCGGGACUCCAACUCAGCCAAGAGAGAACACAAGCUGCCCAACCCACAGUCCUCAGCAGAAAGCACUGGCCUGAGGCCAAGGAAUGGGACAAGCAGAACAUCCGUGGUCAGCCGUCCAGGAAGCAUCCCAGACCAGCCACCCCACAGUAGACAUGGUGGAGACCCAGAAGGUCCAGCAAAUGCCAUGUGGACUGGAGCCUGCCCCCUCCACCUGUGAGAUGACGGUAAGCCCCCCUCCCACACUCAGGCAAAGACUGAAUUAGCUGAAGAAAACCACUCCAGAGCCUGGAAUGGAACUGAGAUGAAGAGGCUGGGGUAGACGUAGUUUCCCACAUCGCAGUGGGGUGGGGGCUCCUUGAAAAACUCAGAGUGUUUCCAAAAGUCUUCUGUAUGCUGCUCUGAGAGGAGGGGGGGAUGCUUGGUGACCUUGCUCGCUAGCGUGACCUUCUCCUUCCCGGGCAGGAAGAGGCUCAUGUGGACCAUGACACCAGAUGAGGCAGACAUGACCGUUUCCAUUUUGACACGUGCAGAAACCAAGGAUCGCCUAAAAUUGAAACCUCUGUAUUGGCUGCAGUUUUCCUCCAUCUGCAAAAACACAUUAGAAAGAGAAAGAGGUUGGCAACUGACUUCAGGCUUUUCCCCCAGAGUGUUACUUACCUGACUUUAACCAGAUGCUGUGUAUCAGCCCUUCUCCCUCCUCCGUGCUCAGGCGGCAAAAGACAGAAGAAAUACAAGGAAUGCUUGUUAUGCUGUGGACUCUCUCCCCCCCCUCUUUCUCUUUCUUUCCUUUUUUUUCUUUUUUUUUUUUUUAUCCCAGGACCGGAUAUACAAGUUCCAGAAGAGGAAUAUACAUCCCCAGAGUCUGAAAUCAAAUCUGGAAUUCAUAUCCUCUGUAAAUGUACUUUAUUAAAAGCAGGAAUCAAAAAAGAUUUUGGAAUUGUUAUAUUGGAGAGGUUGAUUGUGUAGAGAAGACUUAGAAUUAGGGAUAAUUUUAGACACGUUUUGCAGCUCCUUGGAUGAAUGGAAAAACUGGGUACUUUGGCAUCAACCCUAUCCCAAAAGUCUUAAAACCAGCCUUAGACCGUGUUACCGAGGAAGGAAGGAGAUCAGGAGGCUACGGUAAGGCAGAGUGGUCUGGGAGUUCCCGUCGUGGCACAGCAGAAACGAAUCUGACUAGGAACCGUGAGGUUGCUGAUUCAAUUCCCUGGCCUUGCUCAGUGGGCUAAGGAUCCUAGGUUGCUGUGGCUGUGGUGUAGGCUGGUGGCUGUAGCUCCGAUUCCACCCUAGCCUGGGAACCUCCAUGUACUGUGGGUGUGGCCCUAGAAAGCAAAAAAAAAAGACAGUUUUCUGUAAUUUCUGAAAUCUGGUGGAUUGAAAAUGUUGUGGGAACACACAGUAGGUAACAUUUCCAGGCAUCACACCAUCAGUUUGGAGUUAAUCUUUGUAAAUAAAAUCCACUUGCUGACAUUUCA
rnacentral:lncRNA from 1 species